rnacentral:rRNA from 1 species
UACAGAGGUCUCAAGCGUUGUUCGGAUUCAUUGGGCGUAAAGGGUGCGUAGGCGGCGAUGUAAGUCGGGUGUGAAAUCCCAGGGCUCAACCCUGGAACUGCACUCGAUACUGCGUUGCUGGAGGACUGGAGAGGAGACUGGAAUUCACGGUGUAGCAGUGAAAUGCGUAGAUAUCGUGAGGAAGGCCAGUGGCGAAGGCGAGUCUCUGGACAGUUCCUGACGCUGAGGCAUGAAGGCCAGGGGAGCAAACGGG